rnacentral:rRNA from 1 species
CUACCAUGGCAGUCACGGGUAACGGGGAAUUAGGGUUCGAUUCCGGAGAGGGAGCCUGAGAAACGGCUACCACUUCUAAGGAAGGCAGCAGGCGCGUAAAUUACCCAAUCCUGACUCAGGGAGGUAGUGACAAGAAAUAACAACUCGGGGACUUCACGUCUUACGGGAUUGCAAUGAGAACAAUUUAAAACACUUAACGAGGAACAAUUGGAGGGCAAGUCUGGUGCCAGCAGCCGCGGUAAUUCCAGCUCCAAUAGCGUAUAUUAAAGUUGUUGCAGUUAAAAAGCUCGUAGUUGAAUUUAUGGCGAUUGCAUAAGCAGGCUUCGGUCGUUUAUGUGGUCGUCAUCCGCUUGGAAAUCCCGUACGGUCUUCAUUGGUCGGCGGGAGGAUCAGGCAUUUUACUUUGAAAAAAUAAGAGUGUUCAAGGCAGGCAAUCGCCAUGAAUACACAAGCAUGGAAUAAUGGAAUAGGACUGUGAUCCAUUUUAUUGGUUAUUGGAUUACAGUAAUGAUUAAUAGGGACAGUUGGGGGCAUUAGUAUUUAAUUGUCAGAGGUGAAAUUCUUGGAUUACUUAAAGACUAACUUAUGCGAAAGCAUUUGCCAAGGAUGUUUUCAUUAAUCAA